rnacentral:rRNA from 1 species
GACAGAGGAUGCAAGCGUUAUCCGGAAUGAUUGGGCGUAAAGCGUCUGUAGGUGGCUUUUUAAGUCCGCCGUCAAAUCCCAGGGCUCAACCCUGGACAGGCGGUGGAAACUACCAAGCUGGAGUACGGUAGGGGCAGAGGGAAUUUCCGGUGGAGCGGUGAAAUGCGUAGAGAUCGGAAAGAACACCAAUGGCGAAAGCACUUUACUGGGCUAUCACUGACACUGAGAGACGAAAGCUAGGGUAGCAAAUGGG